UAAUGUCAAGGCUGAAGGUUGCUAGCAUUUUGUCAAACGCUUAUCACAUCGUUACUAGUCACGUAAUAUUAUAUACAGUCAGUAUAAGUGUCAGUCCUGUUGGACUUAGGAGGUCCUUCUGUUAAGCUUUCUUUUGAUUUUCUUCGUGUACUUUUAUUUUAAGUUUUAUCUACGUGGCAAGGCCACUAGUCUUAACGUUGUCAAACUUUAUGUAAAACAUAUUUGAAGCAUAUAUAUGUGAAGUAGUAUAUUUUAAUUAA
rnacentral:lncRNA from 1 species